rnacentral:misc_RNA from 1 species
AUAUCUAUCUUGUAUUGUAUUCCGCUAUUUGUCCUACUGUCCUGUGGAUUAACUUACAACGUGCAUGAAGUGGGAAUACUUGCAUACUUAACAACACACUCGGGCGCUGACAUGACAAGUCACUUUACUUUCGAUAAACGCCCUACACCCUUGUAUAUUUAUCACUACACUCAGACCCGGACUCCGAGAUGUAGUGCGUCUAGAGCGCUACAUGGCACGUCACUCUCAUUGAACGCCCUACAACCUUGCACACUUAUCACUGCACUCAGACCCGAACUCCGAGAUGUAGUGAGUCUAGAGUGACAAAAAUUUCAGGCUAAUUAUCACCUACCGCGAUCAUUCUUCUUUGAGUUUGGGACCAAAAUAUAAAACUAAUUAAAUAAUAUAAAGAAGCACAAUUAGUAAUUACAAUGCCAAUCUUGAGGCGAGAGGAGAAUCUUCCGAGAAUUG